GUGUUUUCUCUCUCAUUCUAGGAGUCCAGCACAAAGUAGACCUUCAGAUCCUGCCCCUUACUGACAAGAGACUUUAGGUCCUCCCCAAACUGACAAUGUCCAUAUAUCCACACACCGGGGAUGUGGGGUGACUCCCAACUGGCUGUGUCUGUAUUCGCUGAACACCCAAAUGGCCCUUCCACCUUCUAAUGAGAUGCAGGUGUGGACCAGGGCCUUUGCACAUGCUAGGCCAGCACUCACCACUGAGCAACAUUCUGGCCACAUUCUCAAGUACAUGCUCAUCUCGGUGUAUGUCUGUGUAAUGACAUGCUUGUAGGGAUAUUUUAUCACAUUAAUUUUGUGUGUACCUGCAGAGGGUACACACAUGCCACAGUACAAGGUGGCAGUCAGAAGACAACUCAAGAACCGCUUCUCUCCUUCCAUCAUGUGGGGAGUGAACUCAGGGCCCUGAUCUUCUGCAGGAGGCGGCCUCUCUCUUGUCUCAGGCGCACGAUCUCCUCAUAAGCAUCCCGAUCAUCCUGUCCCCUCCCCACCAGGGGACACCACUUCAGCUGAUGCGGCCCCACCAUCCACCCAGGAGUGGGUCCAGAGGUACCUGCUCCAUCCGUGCUCAUGACAUCGGCACCUUGAGCCAGCA